rnacentral:rRNA from 1 species
GACGAACGCUGGCGGCGUGCCUAAUACAUGCAAGUAGAACGCUGAAGGAGGAGCUUGCUUCUCCGGAUGAGUUGCGAACGGGUGAGUAACGCGUAGGUAACCUGCCUGGUAGCGGGGGAUAACUAUUGGAAACGAUAGCUAAUACCGCAUAAGAGUAGAUGUUGCAUGACAUUUGCUUAAAAGGUGCAAUUGCAUCACUACCAGAUGGACCUGCGUUGUAUUAGCUAGUUGGUGAGGUAACGGCUCACCAAGGCGACGAUACAUAGCCGACCUGAGAGGGUGAUCGGCCACACUGGGACUGAGACACGGCCCAGACUCCUACGGGAGGCAGCCGUAGGGAAUCUUCGGCAAUGGACGGAAGUCUGACCGAGCAACGCCGCGUGAGUGAAGAAGGUUUUCGGAUCGUAAAGCUCUGUUGUAAGAGAAGAACGAGUGUGAGAGUGGAAAGUUCACACUGUGACGGUAUCUUACCAGAAAGGGACGGCUAACUACGU